UACCGUAAAAUUUAAUGGGUUUUACGGUUAAAUAGUAACGGGUACAGACCGUAGUAUAUGAUUACGGUAUAAGACCGUUGGAACGGAGUGUAUUCUGGGAUAGCGCCAUUAUUGAUUCGACUUUCAAACAGUUUGAAAAAUGCACGUAUGAAUGGAAGAAACUAUUUUAAGACACACAUACUAGUGCAUCUGUCUGGAUUUUGAUUGUCUAAAACAGUUCCGUUCAAUGUUUACAUCGAAAAAUGCAGUAUUUGUAUGAGUAAUGUAGAUAAAUGUGGACUCUGAGUAUGUGCGUUAAUAAACUGGAGGCAGCUUUGAAGAAUUGUACUCUCAAUAAACAAAACAAAACAAAAAAAAAAAAAAA